UACGGGGGGGGCAAGCGUUGUUCGGAAUUACUGGGCGUAAAGGGCUUGUAGGCGGCCAACUAAGUCCGACGUGAAAUCCCCAGGCUUAACCUGGGAACUGCGUCGGAUACUGGAUGGCUUGAAUCCGGGAGAGGGAUGCAGAAUUCCAGGUGUAGCGGUGAAAUGCGUAGAUAUCUGGAGGAAUACCGGUGGCGAAGGCGGCAUCCUGGACCGGCAUUGACGCUGAGGAGCGAAAGCUAGGGGAGCAAACGGG
rnacentral:rRNA from 1 species